GGUGCAAGGAUUUGCGCACCAGGCCUCUAGUAGAGUGAUAAGAGCUAUGGAAAAUUUUCUCUGAGGAUCGAGAAAGUUCACAUCAGACAAUGGCAGCCAGAGAAGACUUCCUGGGGAGGCAAAGAGAUCUGAGCCUAAACCUCAGGGAGGAUUAGUCAACUAGUCAAACAUGGGGAGAAGGGUGGAGAGAGAGAAGUUUGCUCUGAGGAGGAAAUGUGAGGUUUAGGAGGGUGGAGCAGUCUAUUGGAGUAGGAGGGAAGCCAGAGGUGAGGAUGGAGUGAUGGGCAAGGGCCACAUUCAAUUACUUCCAUGCUUAGAACCUUCUUAUAGCUUCCCUGUUAACCUCAGGAAAAAAUUCAUGCAGCUCAACAAUGAGGAGGGAGGAGCCUCAUCAUCUGGGCCUUCCCCAGUUUCAUUUUUCACUUCUCCCCCUCCACUCUGUUCAGCCUUCCUGCAGUUCUCUAUUUGCACCAGCUGUUCCCUCUGCUUUUUCCAGUCUCUGCUAAGAUUCCUCAGGGGGUGCUGGAGUCCCUCCUAUGCACUGCAGUGCUGCCCUGGGCUUGCCUCAGUGAAGCAUACCCUGCAGCAUGCUGUAAUGGAUGAGUCUGUCUCCUGGCCCAGAGUGUGAACACCCUUGGAACAGGGCUGUGUUUCACUCUCUGCUGUUCCCUGAGGACCUGACGCAGAGGGCUCCAUAACCAUUCGCUGACGUUCUGCAUUUUGGAGAAUUCCUGGGAUCGCUUCACCACAAAGUAAAUGAGGUACCCACUCCCACACAAACAGCAGAUGAUGAGGAAGUUGGCCAGGACGCGGAGAAAUCUUGUCAGGCCAAGAGGAAGAGACAAAGGCCCUGUUGACUCCUACCCUGUCCUUGGAUGCUCCAUCAGAGGCCCCCCAUUGCUGUGAGAAGAAGGGGUGGGGGGACUGAGUCAGCUCCCUCCUCUACC